GCCGAGUGGCUGCAAUUUCAGCGGCCGGCUCAGUAGGAGGAGCAGGAGGGGAAAGAGGAGGAUCCAGAGUCAGUCAGUCAGCCUGCCAGCGGGAGGUGGGGAAAGCGGGAGGAGGAGGAGGAGGAUUAAAGAUGGCCACCAACAGCUGCGGGAAACGGCAACAACCCCUCACUUUCCGGGAUGGUCCCUGCGGGUUGGCCCGGCCUUAAUGGAGAAGAGAGGCCCGAGGAGCGCCGAGGCUGAGGCGGCGGCGGCGGGGACCCUGCGAGAAGGAAGACGCGAAGGAGCAAGGACCAAGGCAGGAGAAGGGAAAGGCGGCAGCGUCGCUGCCCUGGCUGCCUAGCGCCGCUGCCCGCCCCGGCGGACCAUACCCGCACCUCGCGGCCCCAGAAUCGAGCCGGCCCGUGGCCGG
rnacentral:lncRNA from 1 species